UUAAAGAAUUGGAAGACCUCAACUUGCAUACUAGAAGAAUUUGAAGACCUCAACUUGCACACUUGAAGAAUUUGAAACCUUAACU
rnacentral:pre_miRNA from 1 species